rnacentral:pre_miRNA from 12 species
GGUUUCUAAAACUCUUUGUACCUGAUGCGAUUAUAAAGCAAUGAGACUGAUUGUCAUGUGUCGGUUGUGGGAUCCGUCUCAGUUACUUUAUAGCCGUGCCUGGUACCUAACACCGCACACCACUG